AUGGAGCUGAUGCAUGGUGGGAUGCUUGGAGGAUACAGCCUAAGGCAACGUAGAGGAAAGUGUGUUAUGAGAGCUAAGGCAGAGCAACCACACAGUCUGAGAACAAGUUUGCUUAAGUGAAAUUUGGCCGUCCUUGAACUCUCUGUUCUUCCAGGGUAGGAUGGCCUAUCGUGCCCAGGACAGAGCGACUAUGCCAGCAUUACAAUGGUCUGUAAUAGAGAUGGAGAAGGUGUCAGGAUGGGACUUGGGCAGUGGAUGGAGCUCUAUGACUGCAAAGCCUGCCUAGGCUACAAGGACCCAGAGCUGGCUGCUGCAGGAAGUCCUAGAUCACAACUCUGCAGUUCCUCUUCCCAGGUCUUGCUUUUAACAACUGGACCCAACACAAAGCCUCCCUUGCAGGCUUACCAGAGCAUGAAAAUGAAAUGGCCACCUCCUGUAACAAGAAAGACUUCUAGAAGAGGAAGGAGACAUCAAUACAUUCACAAAACCUUCAACUCGAAAUCUGUCUUGCCAAUAAGUGUGCAGGGAUAAAGACAGAAAAGUAGCACACCUGUCUCCAGAGGCUUCACUCAGCAGCUGAAAGCCACAGCCAAUCCUCAGAUGGAGCUCGGGAAGUCUUGUGGAAGAGUGGGGGAGAGUGCCAAGCAAACUGAUUGGGUUAAAACACUACAAGAAGUCCCCUACCAUCAGAUACCUUGGACCAUGGAGUAUGCUAGAGCCUGUGCAACCAACUCCAGAGCCGGGUUAUUUAUCUGCCGUUGGUCUCCAUGUGGGUCAUCUGACAAGUAGAUCCAGGACUGUCUGUUUGUGUUGCCUGCAUUGGAUCUGUUCCCCAUACCCGGACUGCCUGAUUGUAAAUCUGUGGGGCAGAAUGUGCUCGGUCCACCUGGGACUAGAAGUCCCGGGGUGGUGUGGUACCCAAGGGACUCUCCCCUUGUCCAAAGAGAAGGGAGAGCAUUAUGGUAGAAAGGAUUUUAAGGUGGGACUGGGAAGGGAAGAGGGAGAGUGACUGGGAUCAGGAUGUAACCUGAAUAAAGAAGAAAUUAUUGGAACUAAAAAAGUUAGCCUGGAAAAUAGAAAGAUUGGUAAGUUGCUAAGAGCACUGAAUGCUCUUCCAGAGGUCCUGAGUUCAAAUACCAGCAAACAUGGAGGCUCACAAAUGUCUCUAAUGACAUCUGAUGCCCUCUCUGGUCUUUCUAAAUACAGCUACCCUGUACGUAUGUAUAACAAAUGAAUGAAUGAAU
ensembl:lncRNA